GACGAACGCUGGCGGCGUGCUUAACACAUGCAAGUCGAACGGAAAGGCCCUGCCUUUGUGCGGUGCUCGAGUGGCGAACGGGUGAGUAACACGUGAGUAACCUGCCCCUGACUGUGGGGUAACUUCAGGAAACUGGGGCUCAUACCGGAUAGGAGCUCUUGCUGCAUGGUGGGGGUUGGAAAGAUUCGGCGGUUGGGGAUGGACUCGCGGCUUAUCGGCUUGUUGGUGGGGUAGUGGCUGACCAAGGCUUUGACGGGUAGCCGACCUGCGAGGGUGACCGGCCACAUUGGGCCUGGGAUACGGCCCAGACUGCAACGGGAGGCAACGGUGGAGAAUAUUACACAGUAGGCGGACGCCAGGUGCAACAACGCCGCGUGCGGGAUGAUGGGCUUCGGGUUGUAAACCGCUUUCGCCUUAGACGAGGAGUGAGUGACGGUAAUGGGUAAAGAAGCACCGGCUAACUACGUG
rnacentral:rRNA from 1 species